rnacentral:rRNA from 1 species
UACGAAGGGGGCUAGCGUUGUUCGGAAUUACUGGGCGUAAAGCGCACGUAGGCGGAUAUUUAAGUCAGGGGUGAAAUCCCAGAGCUCAACUCUGGAACUGCCUUUGAUACUGGGUAUCUUGAGUAUGGAAGAGGUAAGUGGAAUUGCGAGUGUAGAGGUGAAAUUCGUAGAUAUUCGCAGGAACACCAGUGGCGAAGGCGGCUUACUGGUCCAUUACUGACGCUGAGGUGCGAAAGCGUGGGGAGCAA